GACGAACGCUGGCGGCGUGCUUAACACAUGCAAGUCGAACGAUGAAGCCCAGCUUGCUGGGUGGAUUAGUGGCGAACGGGUGAGUAACACGUGAGCAACGUGCCCGAAACUCUGGAAUAACUACCGGAAACGGUGGCUAAUACUGGAUAUGUGCAAGGGAGGCAUCUCCUCUGGUUGGAAAGAUUUUUCGGUUUCGGAUCGGCUCACGGCCUAUCAGCUUGUUGGUGGGGUAAUGGCCUACCAAGGCGACGACGGGUAGCCGGCCUGAGAGGGUGACCGGCCACACUGGGACUGAGACACGGCCCAGACUCCUACGGGAGGCAGCAGUGGGGAAUAUUGCACAAUGGGCGCAAGCCUGAUGCAGCAACGCCGCGUGAGGGAUGACGGCCUUCGGGUUGUAAACCUCUUUUAGUAGGGAAGAAGCGCAAGUGACGGUACCUGCAGAAAAAGCACCGGCUAACUACGUG
rnacentral:rRNA from 1 species